rnacentral:rRNA from 1 species
CAUCAUCCGAUCCCUAGUCGGCAUAGUUUAUGGUUAAGACUACGACGGUAUCUGAUCGUCUUCGAUCCCCUAACUUUCGCUCUUGAUUAAUGAAAACAUCCUUGGCAAAUGCUUUCGCAGUAGUUAGUCUUCAAUAAAUCCAAGAAUUUCACCUCAGACAAUUGAAUACUAAUGCCCCCAACUAUCCCUAUUAAUCAUUACGUCAAUCCUAGAAACCAACAAAAUAGGGUCAACGUCCUAUUUCAUUAUUCCAUGCUAAUGUAUUCAAGCGCGAGCCUGCUUUAAACACUCUAAUUUUUUCAAAGUAACAGUCCUGAUUCCCCGCCACACCAAAUUAAUGACAUGAUGGUUCGUCAGAAGGUAGGAAUCAGUAACACCAGUACGUACCGAAGGCACGACCAACGUACUAAUCCCGAAAUUCAACUACGAGCUUUUUAACUGCAACAACUUUAAUAUACGCUAUUGGAGCUG